UCAGUGGCGAACGGGUGAGUAACACGUGAGCAACCUGCCCCUGGCUCUGGGAUAACCCCGGGAAACCGGAGCUAAUACCGGAUACGAGACCGAUUGGCAUCACUACGGUCUGGAAAGUUUUUCGGCCAGGGAUGGGCUCGCGGCCUAUCAGCUUGUUGGUGGGGUAACGGCCCACCAAGGCGACGACGGGUAGCCGGCCUGAGAGGGCGACCGGCCACACUGGGACUGAGACACGGCCCAG
rnacentral:rRNA from 1 species